AACGAACGCUGGCGGCGUGGAUAAGACAUGCAAGUCGAACGAGAGAAUUGCUAGCUUGCUAAUAAUUCUCUAGUGGCGCACGGGUGAGUAACACGUGAGUAACCUGCCCCCGAGAGCGGGAUAGCCCUGGGAAACUGGGAUUAAUACCGCAUAGUAUCGAAAGAUUAAAGCAGCAAUGCGCUUGGGGAUGGGCUCGCGGCCUAUUAGUUAGUUGGUGAGGUAACGGCUCACCAAGGCGAUGACGGGUAGCCGGUCUGAGAGGAUGUCCGGCCACACUGGAACUGAGACACGGUCCAGACACCUACGGGUGGCAGCAGUCGAGAAUCAUUCACAAUGGGGGAAACCCUGAUGGUGCGACGCCGCGUGGGGGAAUGAAGGUCUUCGGAUUGUAAACCCCUGUCAUGUGGGAGCAAAUUAAAAAGAUAGUACCACAAGAGGAAGAGACGGCUAACUCUGUGCCAGCAGCCGCGGUAAUACAGAGGUCUCAAGCGUUGUUCGGAAUCACUGGGCGUAAAGCGUGCGUAGGCUGUUUCGUAAGUCGUGUGUGAAAGGCGCGGGCUCAACCCGCGGACGGCACAUGAUACUGCGAGACUAGAGUAAUGGAGGGGGAACCGGAAUUCUCGGUGUAGCAGUGAAAUGCGUAGAUAUCGAGAGGAACACUCGUGGCGAAGGCGGGUUCCUGGACAUUAACUGACGCUGAGGCACGAAGGCCAGGGGAGCGAAAGGGAUUAGAUACCCCUGUAGUCCUGGCAGUAAACGGUGCACGCUUGGUGUGCGGGGAAUCGACCCCCUGCGUGCCGGAGCUAACGCGUUAAGCGUGCCGCCUGGGGAGUACGGUCGCAAGAUUAAAACUCAAAGAAAUUGACGGGGACCCGCACAAGCGGUGGAGUAUGUGGCUUAAUUCGAUGCAACGCGAAGAACCUUACCUGGGCUUGACAUGUAAUGAACAACAUGUGAAAGCAUGCGACUCUUCGGAGGCGUUACACAGGUGCUGCAUGGCCGUCGUCAGCUCGUGUCGUGAGAUGUUUGGUUAAGUCCAGCAACGAGCGCAACCCCUGUUGCCAGUUACCAGCACGUGAAGGUGGGGACUCUGGCGAGACUGCCCAGAUCAACUGGGAGGAAGGUGGGGAGGACGUCAGGUCAGUAUGGCCCUUAUGCCCAGGGCUGCACACGUACUACAAUGCCCAGUACAGAGGGGGCGGAAGCCGCGAGGCGGAGGAAAUCCUGAAAACUGGGCCCAGUUCGGACUGUAGGCUGCAACCCGCCUACACGAAGCCGGAAUCGCUAGUAAUGGCGCAUCAGCUACGGCGCCGUGAAUAAGUUCCCGGGUCUUGUACU
rnacentral:rRNA from 1 species